ACCAACUCCUACCUGUCGGUUCGGCGGGUUUACCUGCUACAGGUGAGUGCUGGACCGCUUCACACUGCUCCUCACGACCACACUGGACCGGACUGAACCCCGUACCAAGCGCGGGAAGUCCGUCAGAAAUGAGCUCGACAUCAGAUCUGGAGCAGUUGGCAGAGAUAGAACUUCAGCGGGAGGAAGAGGAGGAUGAGGAGGUGACAGACGGUCCGUCGGUUCCUCCCAGCGGCACCUUCAGUCCCGAUCCUUCUCACCCGUAUUACGACGUCGCUCGACACGGCAUCAUCCAGGUCUG